rnacentral:rRNA from 1 species
UGAGUAACGCGUGAGAAUCUGCCUACAGAUGGGGGACAACCACUGGAAACGGUGGCUAAUACCGCAUGAGCCUAAGGGUAAAAGAUUAAUUGUCUGUAGAUGAGCUCGCGUCCGAUUAGGUAGUUGGUGGAGUAACGGUUUACCAAGCCAAUGAUCGGUAGCUGGUCUGAGAGGAUGACCAGUCACACUGGAACUGAGAGACGGUCCAGACUCCUACGGGAGGCAGCAGUGAGGACUUCUCCGCAAUGGGAGAAAGCCUGACGGAGCAAGACCGCGUGGGGGAGGAAGGUUUGUGGAUUGUAAACCCCUUUUAAUGGUGAAGAUGAUGACGGUAGCCAUUGAAUCAGCAUCGGCUAAAUCCGUGCCAGCAGCCGCGGUAAUACGGAGGAUGCAAGCGUUAUCCGGAAUGAUUGGGCGUAAAGCG